rnacentral:rRNA from 1 species
UACGUAGGGGGCAAGCGUUGUCCGGAAUUAUUGGGCGUAAAGCGCGCGCAGGCGGCGAUUUAAGUCUGGUGUUUAAGCCCGGGGCUCAACCCCGGUACGCACUGGAAACUGGGUGGCUGGAGUGCAGGAGAGGGGAGAGGAAUUCCACGUGUAGCGGUGAAAUGCGUAGAGAUGUGGAGGAACACCAGUGGCGAAGGCGACUCUCUGGCCUGUAACUGACGCUGAGGCGCGAAAGCGUGGGGAGCAAACAGG